CAAUAGCGUAUAUUAAAGUUGUUGCAGUUAAAAAGCUCGUAGUUGGAUUUCGGGGUGGCCUGCCUGGUCCACCGCAAGGUGAGUACUGGUCAGCCGCCCUUCCUCUCGAAAGCCCCGACUGCUCUUCAUUGCAGUGGUCGGGUAGUUCGGGACGUUUACUUUGAAAAAAUUAGAGUGUUCAAGGCAGGCUCUCGCCUGAAUACAUUAGCAUGGAAUAAUGGAAGAGGACCUCGGUCCCAUUUUGUUGGUUUCUAGGGCCGAGGUAAUGAUUAAGAGGGACAGUUGGGGGCAUUCGUAUUUAAUUGUCAGAGGUGAAAUUCUUGGAUUUAUGAAAGACGAACUAGUGCGAAAGCAUUUGCCAAGGAUGUUUUCAUUAA
rnacentral:rRNA from 1 species